UACGAAGGGGGCUAGCGUUGCUCGGAAUCACUGGGCGUAAAGCGCACGUAGGCGGCUUUCUAAGUCAGGGGUGAAAUCCUGGAGCUCAACUCCAGAACUGCCUUUGAUACUGGAGAGCUUGAGUCCGGGAGAGGUGAGUGGAACUCCGAGUGUAGAGGUGAAAUUCGUAGAUAUUCGGAAGAACACCAGUGGCGAAGGCGACUACCUGGCCUGUUCUUGACGCUGAGGCGCGAAAGCUAGGGGAGCAAACGGG
rnacentral:rRNA from 1 species